CUUUAAUGGAGCUGAAGUGAACACACUCUUUUAGGUUACUGCUGUUUAGGCAAGACUGUCUAUCUCCAAGAAUAACAUUAGCUGCUGCACCACAGAUUAAAGGUUGGCAUGAAGGUCCAAAUGUGAGUUUGUCAUCGUUGGUUGGUGCCUGUUUUCUGGAGACAAAAGAAGCACGAGCUUGUGUGACAUCAACUUCCAGCGUUGGUUUGAUGUGGCCUCUGCCUUUUUACUGGCUAAUCGAGGUCCACUGGGACUGGAGAUGGGUUCCAAGAGAGUACAAUUGA
rnacentral:lncRNA from 1 species